rnacentral:rRNA from 1 species
GACGAACGCUGGCGGCGUGCUUAACACAUGCAAGUCGAACGGUGAAGCGCCUUCCUUUUUGGUGGGUGUGGAUGAGUGGCGAACGGGUGAGUAACACGUGAGUAACCUGCCCCCUUCUUCUGGAUAACCGCAUGAAAGUGUGGCUAAUACGGGAUAUUCUGGGUCUGUCGCAUGAUGGGUCUGGGAAAGAUAUUGUUUCGGUGGGGGAUGGGCUCGCGGCCUAUCAGCUUGUUGGUGGGGUGAUGGCCUACCAAGGCGGUGACGGGUAGCCGGCCUGAGAGGGUGGACGGUCACACUGGGACUGAGACACGGGCCAGACUCCUACGGGAGGCAGCGGUGGGGAAUAUUGCACAAUGGGCGCAAGCCUGAUGCAGCGACGCCGCGUGAGGGAUGGAGGCCUUCGGGUUGUGAACCUCUUUCGCCAGUGAAGCAGGCCUGCUCGUUUGUGGGUGGGUUGACGGUAGCUGGAUAAGAAGCGCCGGCUAACUACGUG